rnacentral:rRNA from 1 species
AGUGAACGCUGGCGGUAGGCCUAACACAUGCAAGUCGAACGGCAGCACAGUAAUAGCUUGCUCUUCUGGAUUGCGAAUGGCGGACGUAUGACGAGUGUAUCCUAAUCUAGUUUUUCGGAUGGCUUAAGGAAGGGAAACUUACGCUAAUACCGCAUACGACGUACCGGGGAGAGCGUUGGAUCGUCGCGCCUUGCGGGAUUGAAUGAGCGGCUGUCGGUGUUGCUAGUUGGGGGGUUAAUGGCCCACCUAGGCGACGAUAGGUAGCUGGUCGGUGAGACUGGUCAGCCACACUGGAACUGAGACACGGUCCAGACUCCUACGGGAGGCAGCAGUGGGGAAUGUUGGACAAUGGGCGCAAGCCUGAUCCAGCCAUACCGCGUGGGUGAAGAAGGCCUUCGGGUUGUAAAGCCCUCUUGUUGGGAAAGAAACGCAGCAGGUUAAGACCCCGCUGUAGUGACGGUACUCAAUGAAGAAGCACCGGCUAACUUCGUG